UAAAAUUAAACCUAUCACUUUCAUUAAUUUCUUAAUUUAAUUAGUAAUAACUGUGAAAAUAAUUUCUUAUAUUCAUUUCCAUACAUUUCUUAUACUAAUUGGUAAUAAUUCUAAGAGAAAUAAUUCCCGUCAACAAGGAAAUAAUUUAUUUUUAAAUUUACAAGUAUAUUUUGGACUUAAAGAACUUAUCUUUCUAUAACACUUCUCUUUCCCCAUGGACAACGCUUUCAAAAGAUUAAAAAUCAAAUGAGAAACAGCUCCACCUCACGAAAAAAAAGAAAAAAGAAAAAGAGUUCUGUUUCUUGAUUCUGUAGAAACCCUAGUUUUCUCCCUCCAGUUUUUCUUCAUUUUCUACACAUUCUGGAAGUGAAGAAGAGUGUCGUACUAGACGAUCAGUUCGGGUGAAUAUUCUAUGGAUAGUCCAAUUUGGUUAGAGAGUAAAAGCGAUUACCUUUCAGCGUCAGCUCCUGAGAGAACUGGUACUAGAAUCGAACUGACAGCAAAGUCGAGGAACUGGUGUCUUCGAGCUUGUAAGAGGAUUUAUGUUUACUCAUUUGUUGGUUCACCAUCUCUGCACAUGAAAGUGAUUUAAAAAGUCGAGGAACUGAUGGUGUAGCUGUAGCAAGUAAAUUUUAAAAUGAAAGUUAAAACAAUAUUCCCCAUUUUUUUUUUAUUAUAUUUUUUUCAUCUUUGUGCAACAAAUAAAUAUGUGACCU
rnacentral:lncRNA from 1 species